GGCUGAUCACCUUCUCCACAAGGAACAACCUCACCACAUACAAGUCUGAGAUCAAAUACUCCUGUCAGGAGCCCUAUUACAAGAUGCUCAACAAUAACACAGGUAUAUAUACCUGUUCUGCCCAAGGAGUCUGGAUGAAUAAAGUACUGGGGAGAAGCCUACCCACCUGCCUUCCAGUGUGUGGGCUCCCCAAGUUCUCCCGGAAGCUAAUGGCCAGGAUCUUCAAUGGACGCCCAGCCCAGAAAGGCACCACUCCCUGGAUUGCCAUGCUGUCACACCUGAAUGGGCAGCCCUUCUGCGGAGGCUCCCUUCUAGGCUCCAGCUGGAUUGUGACCGCCGCACACUGCCUCCACCAGUCGCUCGAUCCGGAAGAUCCGACCCUACAUGACUCAGACUUGCUCAGCCCUUCUGACUUCAAAAUCAUCCUGGGGCAGGACACCUGGGAUGGAGGUCCAGGAACCUGAGUCCAAGUGCAAGAUAUGAUUCUCCAGACACGUG
rnacentral:sRNA from 1 species